rnacentral:misc_RNA from 1 species
CCAUUCGGUGUGUGCCUCGUCGUCCCCCUUCCGCUACGAGCCCCUCCUCCUGCUUCGCGCGACUUUCCCAACACCGCUAUCUCUGUGUGUGUUGCGCGGAACCGCACCACAACGCGCCGUUGUGCUCUUCAGCGUAUAUCGCUCUAUUUCGCGCUAUCCCCCCUCUCUCUCUGUGACGCACACGCACUUGCGCGCCGCAGAUCCGAGUUUUAUUCCUCAGACGUGUCUGCUGCCUGCAUCCACCGUCGUGCAUCCACCAUCCUGGCCUGCACGGACACAAAGUGGCACACGCACGCGCAUGCAUACAUGUGUAUAUGCACACACGCGCACUGUCAGGCCUGUCGGCAUCUGCGGCGGUGACCGAGCAACAUCGAGCUGGGAGACGCCCGAAACGAAAGAGAAGUCUGCGUGCGGAAUUCUUUAGAAGGCCUGUGGUGCCAGUUGGCGGUCGAGCCAACACGCGAUCCGCCUUCACGAGCGAGGGAGAGCGAGAUGCGCGUUGCAGCACCGUUGUACACUCUUGGACUCCAGCGCAGAGGCGCUGGCCUAGUCGCUGCCGCGUCUAUCCUCAAUGUCGCUUCUCACAGAAUACACGGCGGAGCGACUCUGGUAUCUGCAGGCAAGGCAUCGCUGGCGCUCGGCCCGACACAGCUGAUGCUCCAUGAUGAAAUGGCGCCAGUGGUGGGGCUUCUCCUGCGGUCGCGAUUGUUGCGGGCUCCGCGGUCGACAUUGUCAGCACCAUCUUCAUCCCAGCUCACUUCGUGCUCGGAGAUCCCGGCGGGAGAAGCCAGCAGCAGCCCCAUCACGGACGAAGAGACAGCGGCGCCUGCAUCGGUGGCUGAGCAGGCGGAGGCACCCUCCAUCAUGGUGCACCCUGCCGAGGGAGGCGUUGAAGUCGGCUCCACGGGUGCUGGGGCUGCUGCCGCGGUCUUUUGUGGUGGUCGCAGCGGCGUUCCGUCUGUCGUCUCCUCGCAGAAUGACAUUACAAGCGAGGCGCGUCUGGACCAGAUCGUGGCCGUGCUCGAGGAGAAGCGCGUGGAGCGGCAGCGCAAGAUGUUCGAGGACAUGAUCGUCUUCGAGGGCGGCGCCGUUUCCGACCACCCGUCUCUGGGCACGAGGCUCAUCAUGCGGGACUUUGUGCACUUUGCCCUCUACAACAACAAGUGGGGCUACUAUCCGAAGCUGUUUCGCAAGUAUCGCCAACUGAUGACCACGGGCUACUUCGACCCCAUCCCGUUCGCCUCACUGCGCAACCAGCAUGACUAUGAACGGUAUGCCACGAAGCUGCAUGAGUCGACGCCGGGUUUCGUGACACCCACGCAGCUCUUUCAGCCCUACUACGGCUGGGUGCUGGCGGAGUACCUCGUGACGACACACCGCGCCAAGUUUGAUCCCCGCGAGCCGCUCAUCGUGUAUGACAUCGGUGCCGGCACCGGUGCUCUAGCGUUGUCUGUACUCGACUACCUGGCCGAGCACUUUCCCGACCUCUACGCCGCAUGCGAGUACCACGCCGUGGAGCAGAACCCGCAUCUGAUCCAGGUACUGCGCAACAAGCUUAUCCACCACUACCACCACGUCAACAUCCACCACCUGUCGGUGCUGAACUGGCGGCAGCUGGAGAAGCGGCGCUGCGUCGUGCUUGCCGUGGAGCUCUUCUCCGGCAUGCCACACGACUGCGUGUUGUGGGACCAAGAGGCGGUCGUGAGUGAGCAUUGGUUCGGCUUUCAGCAACACGACAACCUCGCCACGGCGCACGAGCGCUACUACGCCCUACAGGAUCCAAUUAUUCUGCGUUACCUGCGCUACCUUAAUUGGAUGCAAGAGGAGUCGUUUCACAACUUGAAGGUGCUGUGCCUUACUGAGGGCCGCGAAACCCUUGACGCACCGAAUCGGCGGAGCAUCGAGCCCAAUAUGGCCGACUCCACCAUCGCGAUAUUCACGAAGAUGGCGUACAUCAUGAGCCCCUUCCACACUGCCUGGCUUCCCACAGUGCAGAUGGUCUUUCUUGAAAUGCUCGCUCAGUACUUCCCUCGCCAUCACCUCUUCGCGGCGGACUGGUCUAGCGUGCGACAAGCAUUGCCCGGCGUGAACGGCCCUGUGCUGCAGGUGAAGCUGCGCGUGGCCAAGGACAUGUACCUGCGCAAGCCCGUCGAUGCACUGCAUGCGAAUGCUGGCAUGGUCGACAUGUGCUUCCCAACAGACUUUGAUCACCUGUCCAUUGUCUAUGCCCGCAUCUGUGGGGCGCAGAAGGAGGUGGAGUCGAUGCGACACCCUGUGUUCUGGCAGACCCACGGCGGUGACAAGACGGCGCUCUUCACAACUCGCAGCGGGUACAACCCGCUGCUGGAAGACUUCCAACAGUUCCACGUCUUUACCUCACACCACUCACCAGAGCUGUAGCGGCGCGUGUGUGGGUCUGGAUGCCUUGGCUGCAGGCAGCGGCGGGUGGUGGUGUAGUCGGCGGGUACCCGCGCGCUGUGGUCCAACGCCUGGGACCCGUCGUUUCCACCCCCCUCCACCCUUCUCAGAGACAGAGACGUACGCACCGUACACCUUCCCACUUCUCAGGCGUAGUGCUCGCAGUUGGCAGAGUGCGCUGUCGCUGUCGCCAACUUUUUGUUUAGCUUCCCCUUGAUAUCGUUGCCGUUGUCGUUGGACAUCUCAACACAGCACUGCAGUGACAAAGGACACGCAUCACCUCUUUCCUUCCUCUCCCGCUCUUUAGAUGCGAUACGAGAAGGUAUGUGCGAGGUGCGCGCGUGCGCACACGCAGAAAGGACGCGAGGAGAGCGCGAGCGUGCGGGCCAUGCGUGUUUUGUGAGGUGAGGAGAGCACGAGAGUAUUCGUGCGUAGGCGCAUUUCUCUCUCUCUUUCUGUCUUCACUUUGUGUCCUCCUGCUCUACUGCCGAUCUUCGGCAGUCGGUGCUCACUGGGUAGUCGUUGACGGACUCGCACACAGGCGCGCCACAGAGGACAACACACUCGUGCAGAUAUUGUCGUGCCGACUAUGUACGAACAUCUCCUCUUGUGCUUGCCGGCAUGGGCGCGGGCUCCCUUGCCUUGAAUGCGUUUCUUUUUUUUUAACCUUCUCUUCCAGCUCUCUCCCCUAUCGCUCUCUCUCUCACUGUCUCUAUGACGUCUCGGGACGGCUUGGCUGCGCAUGCUGGCUCAUAAACUCACAUAAAUGUAUGCGCUCCUUCCGAAUCUGUUGCACACACACAUACACACGCACGCAGUCGAUGCGAACGCAUUCUAGGGGGGGGGUCAAGCAAGCAACAGAAGGAACAGCAGCAGCAGCAAACAACGGCAACGCAAAUACGCUGUCGUCUUCUUCGCACUCCCCUGCAAGCAUCUGAACAGGCGCGAGCUUGCCAAGCGCACGUGUGCGUGAGCUCGUGAGGGAGUGCUGCUGUCUUGUGGCGCCUUUGUUUCGCGCUUCGUUAUCUGUGUGAGUGCGGGCACCCGCUUUAUUUUUGUGUGGUCCCCCCUCUCUCUCUCUCUCGCUCCUUCUCCGCCCCUCACCGCUCUCUUGCUUGUUCGGUUUUCGUUCCGUCCACUGUGUCCUCUCGCCGAGCCUCACUCACUCUCUCUCGCUUCUCCAUACACAG